GAGAGCAGUUGGUGGCUUUAUUUGCCCAGGCUCCGAGCUGGCAGCUCUUCAGAGGCAGCCGACAUGGCACCCUUAUGCAACGCCUGCUGGAACAGCGCUCCGCUUCGCCCCUCUGAACAAACGUGCUUCAACCGAAUCUUUGUGGUUACCAUGCAGGAUGAUAUCACAUCCAGAAAUAGAUUUCGGUGCAUGUAACGGGGGCUUUAUCUACCUAGAGGAGGCUUACUUGGAAACAGCAGAAUUUCCCCGAUCUAUACCAUGUAAAAGCUCGCUAUUUCUAGCUACCUUCCUCUUUGCCGUGCCUUUAGAGAGACCCAGGUGCUCGUACUUCUCUUUGCGGACAUAAAGAGGAAACCACCGCUGCUGACAACUUCAUCGCUUGCCCGCGUGGAGACCCAGGUGCACCUCUGCAGCACGCCUGCAAAAAUAACCCCCCGGCUGCAGCUUUGGGGAAGGAAGAACGAUCGAUGAUAAAAAUCUUCUGAAGAGGUUUUGCCCUGGCAGAAAGCCCAGAAAUAACAGCAAGGACAGGCUGUCCUUCGGGAGAUGAAUGCUCCCUUGGCGCUGCCGAGCUGGACUGGUGGAAAGAAAAUGAUGCUCGGCUGGUGUCGCAGAGCUGGGAAGAGAGCCAGCAGCAUGAUGAGCUCAGCCUCCCUGCGCUCGCAGCUGCGCGGGAGAGAAAUGCUGUCCGGCAGGUCCGAGGGCUGCGGGAUGCGGCGUCUUAGCUCCCAGCCUGCCAACUGGCCAGCUCGGAGGCAGGGAGCUCCAGCUCUGUGAGAGAGGGGGGAAAUCAAGGCUAGGACGUGCCUGAUCUUUGCCUUUGGCGAAGAUGGUGGUUUAUCUGGAACCACUCGCUCACUUCUGUUUGCUUUUCCUCUCUCCUGCAAGAUAAGGUUUAGUUUAGCCGAGGAUACUGUUGGCUGUACAACCAAGUUGGAUUCCAUCUGACACAAGCCGGUCUGACAGGUAGCUUUGCCCUCUCAAACAAGAACAACACCUCGUGGCACAUAGCCACAAGUAUGAUGAUUACUUGUGCCCUAAUAGCCUUUCCAGCCAGCAAUGAGAGCCCCCCUUCAACUUUAAAAUUCCACAUAUCUGGGUGUUGUUAUCCUUGUGGAAAACUGCUCUGGGCCCCGCUCUAAAGUUCCUUGUUGACUUUGAAAGAACGGCUUUCCUCUUCGCUGAUGUUUGCAAGCAAACAAGCCGGGUUUUGUACAAACAGAGCGAGCCACGCUGCCCUAGCGCUCCUUGCU